GCUGGCGGCACGCCUUAUACAUGCAAGUCGAACGGAGUAGCAAUACUUAGUGGCAGACGGGUGAGUAACAUGUGGGAAUCUUCCCUUUGGUGAGGAAUAACACGAGGAAACUUGUGCUAAUACCUCAUAAGUCUUUACAGAGAAAGCUUUAUGCGCCAAUGGAUGAGCCCGCACUUGAUUAGUUUGUUGGUGGGGUAAUGGCCUACCAAGACUGUGAUCAAUAGCUGAUCUGAGAGGAUGAUCAGCCACAUUGGGACUGAGACACGGCCCAAACUCCUACGGGAGGCAGCAGUAAGGAAUCUUGCACAAUGGAGGAAACUCUGAUGCAGCGAUGCCGCGUGAGUGAAGAAGGCCUUUGGGUUGUAAAGCUCUUUCGUCGGGGAAGAAAAUGACUGUACCCGAAUAAGAAGGUCCGGCUAACUUCGUGCCAGCAGCCGCGGUAAUACGAAGGGACCUAGCGUAGUUCGGAAUUACUGGGCUUAAAGAGUUCGUAGGUUGUUAAAAAAGUUGGUGGUGAAAUCCCAGAGCUUAACUCUGGAACUGCCAUCAAAACUUUUUAGCUAGAGUUUGAUAGAGGAAAGCAGAAUUUCUAGUGUAGAGGUGAAAUUCGUAGAUAUUAGAAAGAAUACCAAUUGCGAAGGCAGCUUUCUGGAUCAUUACUGACACUGAGGAACGAAAGCAUGGGUAGCGAAGAGGAUUAGAUACCCUCGUAGUCCAUGCCGUAAACGAUGUGUGUUAGACGUUGGAAAAUUAUUUUUCAGUGUCGCAGCGAAAGCAUUAAACACACCGCCUGGGGAGUACGACCGC
rnacentral:rRNA from 1 species